ACUCCUACGGGAGGCAGCAGUGGGGAAUAUUGCACAAUGGGGGAAACCCUGAUGCAGCCAUGCCGCGUGUGUGAAGAAGGCCUUCGGGUUGUAAAGCACUUUCAGUAGGGAGGAAGGUAGUGUAGUUAACACCUGCAUUAUUUGACGUUACCUACAGAAGAAGCACCGGCUAACUCCGUGCCAGCAGCCGCGGUAAUACGGAGGGUGCGAGCGUUAAUCGGAAUUACUGGGCGUAAAGCGCAUGCAGGCGGCCUGUUAAGUCAGAUGUGAAAGCCCGGGGCUUAACCUCGGAAUUGCAUUUGAAACUGGCAGGCUAGAGUCUUGUAGAGGGGGGUAGAAUUUCAGGUGUAGCGGUGAAAUGCGUAGAGAUCUGAAGGAAUACCAGUGGCGAAGGCGGCCCCCUGGACAAAGACUGACGCUCAGAUGCGAAAGGCGUGGGGAGCAAAACAGGAUUAGAUACCCUGGUAGCACAGAG
rnacentral:rRNA from 1 species